rnacentral:misc_RNA from 1 species
AAAUCUCAACCUUCUCGGUUUUCUUCUGGACACCGAAGGAGGCUUGGACUUUGGAGGCCUUUGCUGGCAUCUCUCUCUUCUUGAGAGCCAGCUCCUCUUAAACGAAUUAGCGGGGUCCUCUUUGCCGAUCCUCGACAUGUGAUAAGAUGUUUCCAUGACUUGGUUUCUGGCUCUGUUGCCUUUGGGACCCGCUUCUAACCGUCUCGACGAGACGACGUUUGGGCGCGUCUCCCUUCUCGGGAGACACUCUCAACCCCACGAAC